AAUGCAUGAUGUGGACAUUUCUUAAAUAGUUCUUUAAAACUUUAUCAUGCCACAUAAAUAAAUUCCCCAUCUAAUUGGGUAAAAGAUGAAAUAUCAUUCUUAACUUG